CCGGCGACCGGCGCACGGGUGAGUAACGCGUAUGCAACCUGCCCGUUUCAGCGGGAUAACCCGGAGAAAUCCGGCCUAAUACCGCAUGUGGCCGAGGGGAGGCAUCUUCUUUCGGCCAAAGGAAGCGAUUCCGGCGGGGGAUGGGCAUGCGGCGCAUUAGCUAGUCGGCGGGGUAACGGCCCACCGAGGCGACGAUGCGUAGGGGUUCUGAGAGGAAGGUCCCCCACACUGGUACUGAGACACGGACCAGACUCCUACGGAAGGCAGCAG
rnacentral:rRNA from 1 species